rnacentral:rRNA from 1 species
ACCGAACCCACGUAAGUUGAAAAUUGCGGGGAUGAGUUGUGGGUAGCGGUGAAAUUCCAAACGAACUUGGAGAUAGCUGGUUCUCUCCGAAAUAGCUUUAGGGCUAGCCUCGCAAAGAGGAUGCUGGAGGUAGAGCUCUGUUUGGACUAGGGGCCCGUCAAGGGUUACUGAAUUCAGAUAAACUGCGAAUUCCAGACAUUUAUGUGCGGGAGUCAGACUGCGAGUGAUAAGAUCCGUAGUCGAAAGGGAAACAGCCCAGAUCACCAGUUAAGGUCCCAAAAUUCAUGCUAAGUGGAAAAGGAUGUGGAGUUGCGCAGACAACUAGGACGUUGGCUCAGAAGCAGCCAUCAUUCAAAGAGUGCGUAAUAGCUCACUAGUCGAGUGACGCCGCGCCGAAAAUUUACCGGGGCUAAGCAUGAUACCGAAACUGUGGAUGUGCAUUUAUGCACGUGGUAGGAGAGCGUUCUAGCGGCGGUGAAGCAUGACCGAGAGGACAUGUGGAGCUUCUAGAAGUGAGAAUGCCGGUAUGAGUAACGAAAGACAGGUGAGAAUCCUGUCCGCCGCAAGACUAAGGUUUCCUGGGGCAGGCUCGUCCGCCCAGGGUAAGUCGGGACCUAAGGCGAGGCCGAGAGGCGUAGUCGAUGGACAACAGGUUGAAAUUCCUGUACUGCACCGAAUCGUUAUGAGCGAUGGAGGGACGCAGGAGGCUAGCAGCGCGUGGUGCUGGAUACCACGUUCAAGCGUCAAGUCUGAGAGUGAGUCAAAUGCUUGCUCUCAUAAGGACAAGGCGUGAUGAGGAGCGAAAUUAAAGUAGCGAAGGCUG